ACGUGUGUUCUACCCUUUCUUCUGUGGUCUAGAGUUUCUCAUGUUGUUAGUUGCUGCUGGGGGUUCCAUAACCCAGGCAGUAUUUCGAGGAAUCUGACUUAACGGAAUUGAUACACACAUAGUUGCUUUAAUAGUGUAGUGAAGAGUGAAAGAGGCCUCAUUGCACUGGAGCUGACACUGUAUCUUUUCUCCCCAGCUCCCUCAACAGACUGAUCUCCCAGUCUAGAAGCUGCUCCAUAAGAUAGAUCACUGGAACAAACCUUCCUUACCCUUAAUUCUGUGUGUCUCAACGCCAGAAACUCCUCUAGCACAGAAAGAGUUUUACAUCUAACAGGACUGGCACUUAGCCAAUGUGUGUCAGAGAACAGUCAUUCCACAUGGGUUUCUACAUCAGGAUAUCUGCUGUGCCCGAGUAGUGUAAAGAUAUUUCCUGACUGAUGCAGCAAACUUCUGAUCAGUCAACCCCUGAAACCCACACCUGCCCUGGAGUGGAUGAAUGAAGUCCAUUUGUCAUCAUCAAGAGUGACCAGCAUCCACAUCUGGAGCCAACUGCUAUUCUCAUUUACACAAGUGUAGCCCUAUUGAAGUCAAUGGGAGAGCACCCAUGUACUUGAGAGCAGCAUUUGGCCCAUUGUCUUGAAAAAGGAGCGAUGAGGGUUGUGUGGGAUUUGGAAGGGAUUCUCCCUCCUGCUGGGGCCUCUUUAGGAGGAACAACCCAAAAUCUUACCCUUUAAGACAGAAGUCCCUGGCACAUGUAAGCUGUGGUUUAAGUAGAUGGGUCCUCAUCCAUGAUGAUGGUUCCUAGGGGCCAUGGUAAUGUAUGUAAUAAAUAAUCAUUGAAAUAGGAGAAUAUGUUAUCAUUGCAACAGCUGAGGAGGAAGAAGAACUACUCCUGCCAAGCCGGGAGAGUGAGAAAGCUCUCCCUCAGGGUUGGGGAGUGCUGUGCUCCACCUGUUCCCUCUUCCCUUAUCUCUUGGGUGUCGGGCUCCAUACUUUUCAGUCAUGAUUGGGCAUUAAUGGUGUGAGGUGAAGACACUUAUAGAGCUGCUGUGGCUAUGAUUCUGGGAAUAGAGACCUUGGAAGCCUACUGCAGUUGUCUCAAAUGCUAUCUAUUUCUUGAUACCUUUAGAAUUUAAUAUAAUCAAUAAAAUGUAUCUAACCUAAUCAUUCUUUGAUCUCAUCUGUUUAACAUACGAGAAGGAAAAACAUUGCAGAGGGAAAAAUUGUUUCAAACUUCUCAUUCUAUAGGCAGUAUAUUAGUAAACUGGCUAUAUCCUCAUUACCCUUAGAGGAAUUUAGUAAUUGCUAUAGAUAAAUACAGUUCAUACAUCUCCCAGUGUUUCUCAUACUUUAAAUGAACAUUAGUAGUGUUCACUAAAAUGUUUUUGAUGACAGAUAAUUAGACCUGUUAUAACAGCUGAUGAUGCUUCUUGUGGGGCCCACCUCUGCCAAAACAAAACAAAAACCUUUCACAGCGAAUCCCAACCAUAUCACGCAAGCCUGCAGGCAUGGAGCACUCAGAACUUGCAGUGUCAGAAGCAGAACAGAAAUCUGUUUGAAUUGGAUGUUUUUUAAAAAGUAA